UAUUAUUCAUGCUUGUUUUUUUUGAGAUAUUCGAGUAUUUAAUCUAGUAUUUUAUCAUAGAUAGACUUUACAUUAUCGGUGUUUGUUUUUAAGGUAAGUAGAAAUCCAUUUAUGAGCAUUUCCAUUUGUUGAAACGUAAUUUCAGGUGAUUAUCCGAGGUUUUACCGAUUCAGUCUACAUAUCUGAACCUGAGUUCUUAUCGCAUAAAGGAAAGAUCAUAGAUAGUAGGGAAAUUUGUCGAACUUCUAUCGCAUGAACUCCAACUAUAUAAAUUGUUUGUCCCUAGACAAGUUCACAUACAGUAAUAAGCAAAACUGAACACACGCUCUUUAAAACUCUUGUAACAACUAUUUUAAAAUUCGACCAAACGAAUUGAUUCUUUCUUUGAAAAGUUAGAUAGAUUAGUCGACUAGACUAAAAUUGUUGUUGCAAUUUUUAAAACAUUAUUCUAUCUUAACGGCUGUGUGUUCGGUUUUGCAUAUUAUCGUAAAUAGAGUUCUAUCGUAUUGAAGUAUUUAAUGCACGUGUAUGAGCAUCUCAGAAACUUGUAUUCCAUGUGGACAGACUUUGUAUUAUAGAUGUUUCCGUUUUUUAUGCAGUGUUUUAUGCAGUAGACGCGUAUUGGGUCAGUAUCGAUCAGUGGUAAUUGAAAUUCUACUUAUAAACGAUAAUAGAAUGAAAUGUUGUUAUUAGAGGCGCAAAAUUCUCGGCUACACGCGAGGAGAUUGAUCUGUAUCUGCGAAACUGAUAAAACUCCUCUUGUCGAAUUUAUUGCAUGUAAGAAUGGCGAAUAAAGAUUCGAGAGAAACUUAUGGAACAAUGCGAUCUAUGCUUUAUUCAGUCGUGUAAACUGUGAUAAAUAUAUGUAGGAAUAAACCGCAUCAUUGUAUGUAAACGUCGACGAAAUGGCGCGUAAUAAAUAUUGAUGGCUGAGA